AGCCAGCAGGUUAGCUACAAUGUUGAAGGCUGGCAAGAAGGAGCGAGCACUGGAGAGGAAGCAUUGAAGUAGAACCCGUCAUACUGGAUGGCAGGAUUGUGAAUACAGACAGCACCUAGUAAAGCAGGAGAUCCAGCCUCUCCCCAGCAACUCCACUUCAAUGUUGGACCCUACAGACACUCGUCCAUGAGCACCAGGAGAUGCAGCGCCUGUAACAGAAAAAAUGGAAAACAAGGUGAUGAAGGAUGCUCUCGACCCACGUUGACCUUGCAGAAUCAUUCAGCUUUCCUGCCCAUGACUGGAUUCCAUGCUGUGGCGGUGGCUGGCUCCGGGCAGCAGUGAAUGAGGAAGGAGGCUGGACAUCUCAUUUCAUGUCCAGAACAAAGACGGAGAGUCUUGGCGGUACCAACGGCAAUAAGGAAACUGAGGCACAGAGUGAGCGGGAGCACGUGGACAGCAUUACAAGAAGGCGGCAAGGAUCACUCAGGCCACAGUGUGAAGAAUGAAUCACAGGGGGACAAGUUUGAUGCAUACCGCAUAGUCCAGGUGACUCCACGAUGGCCUCUAGCCUUGGGAUCACUGUCUCCUAAGGUAGACUGAAGAGUGGAACAACAGUGGAGGACACAAAAGAUACUGAAAUGGAGGCCCAGAAGGUUCAGUAACUUGCCCUAGGAACACAGUAGAUGCGGGAGCUACUCCACGUGGUCUUUGAAGUCCGGGGAGCCUGGGCGGACAGACAAAUCGAGAGGGAGGGAGUUUUGGCCUAGUUACUACUCAGAACACAAGUCCAGAAGCAGCACCGAGGAGGUGACCCCGCCACCAUCAGCCGUCCUAGAGACCUCCCUGGCAUGGUGCGG